rnacentral:rRNA from 1 species
AAGCUUCAGGCCUAACACAUGCAAGUCGAGCGGGCGUAGCAAUACGUCAGCGGCAGACGGGUGAGUAACGCGUGGGAACGUGCCCUUUGGUUCGGAACAACACAGGGAAACUUGUGCUAAUACCGGAUAAGCCCUUACGGGGAAAGAUUUAUCGCCGAAGGAUCGGCCCGCGUCUGAUUAGCUAGUUGGUGAGGUAAUGGCUCACCAAGGCGACGAUCAGUAGCUGGUCUGAGAGGAUGAUCAGCCACACUGGGACUGAGACACGGCCCAGACUCCUACGGGAGGCAGCAGUAGGGAAUAUUGGACAAUGGGGGCAACCCUGAUCCAGCCAUGCCGCGUGAGUGAUGAAGGCCUUAGGGUUGUAAAGCUCUUUUGUGCGGGAAGAUAAUGACGGUACCGCAAGAAUAAGCCCCGGCUAACUUCGUGCCAGCAGCCGCGGUAAUACGAAGGGGGCUAGCGUUGCUCGGAAUCACUGGGCGUAAAGCGCACGUAGGCGGACUCUUAAGUCGGGGGUGAAAUCCUGGAGCUCAACUCCAGAACUGCCUUCGAUACUGAGAGUCUUGAGUUCGGGAGAGGUGAGUGGAACUGCGAGUGUAGAGG